GAAUUCACUAGUGAUGCAGGCCUAACAGAUGCAAGUCGAGCGGUAGAGAGAAGCUUGCUUCUCUUGAGAGCGGCGGACGGGUGAGUAAUGCCCAGGAAUCUGCCUGGUAGUGGGGGAUAACGUUCGGAGAACGGACGCUGAUACCGCAUACGUCCUACGGGAGAAAACAGGGGACCUUCGGGCCUUGCGCUAUCAGAUGAGCCUAGGUCGGAUUAGCUAGUUGGUGAGGUAAUGGCUCACCAAGGCUACGAUCCGUAACUGGUCUGAGAGGAUGAUCAGUCACACUGGAACUGAGACACGGUCCAGACUCCUACGGGAGGCAGCAGUGGGGAAUAUUGGACAAUGGGCGAAAGCCUGAUCC
rnacentral:rRNA from 1 species